GACGUCACCGGUUCAGCUCCUGACCUUUCGGCGAACCGCAGAACCACAGGCGACCCGUUCGACGUCAUCACUCCCCGCCCAGAUGUCGCUGUGACAUCACCCCGCACGUGCCUGCGCUGGCACCGCGUCGUCCUGGCGAGCGCCUCCUCGCGGCGGAAGGAGAUCCUGGGGUUCGCUGUGCGAGACAUGUCGGCGGGGUUUCACGUGAGUGACACUUGGUCCCCACGGGAUUGACAGCGACUAGCGGAGUGGCAUGUGGACGUAGCUUCAGGUGACCUCACUGACCCCGCCCCUGACUCCACCCCUUGUGAUGACCCCACCACUGACCCACAGGCCUUGGAGGGGCUGAUCCUGGAGAAGGGCUGAGCAGGAAGCAGAGCAGCACAGCGUCAUCAUGAGGGUAGCCAUCUUCACCUGGGGCAUCCACGGAGGCCCUGCCCAGGAAGUGACUUUCUCUCUACUGUAGGAGGAGCUGAUCCACGACUACUUGGACAACAGCACACCAGCGAAGGAUGGUGAGGCCCUGCCCCCUGCCUGCACAUGACACUGCCCAACCUCGAAGUCACCAUGUAAUCCCACCAUGACCCUGACCCAACAGGGACAAGGCCUGGGGCCUCCGCCAUCCAUGCGUGGGGAGUGAUGCUGGUAGAGGGCAAAUUGGUGACGUCAUCAAUGCAGCGGGCUUCCCACUCAACCACUUUAGCCGCAAGCUUGCAAGGGCAGCUGCCAGAGACAGGAAGUGACAUCGCUGUGGAGAGGGCAGCAGGAAGUGAGGUCAGAGUGGGGGUGAUGGG
rnacentral:lncRNA from 1 species